GCGAUUCCCGUAGUAGCGGCGAGCGAAAUGGGAACAGCCCAGCGCAUAAUCUCCCAGGCCACCCGGCCUGCGGCGAAAUGUUGCGUCAAGGGAAUGGUCGCUUACAGCCUCGUGCGCCCGUAGAUGUUGCCUAAUCGCGUCUUGAAAUAUUCGCGCAUGUUGGGUGUUACGUCUCUCGGGAUUGAACGCUCGACUCACGGUACCAUGGAGGGUGCAAGCCCCGUUUGGCCGCGUGUUGUUGCGUACGAAGGCUAGACCACUUUCCCGGAGAGUCGCGUUGUUUGAACGUACAGCGCUAAGCAGGUGGUAAACUCCACCUAAGGCUAAAUAUGUCCACAGAACCGAUAGCUAACAAGUACCGCGAGGGAAAGUUGAAAAGUACUCUGGAGAGAGGGUGCAAAGACCGUGAAACCAUCCAGGGCAAAAGCCAAUGUCGAGUAUCCUAGUUGCGCUGGGACCAUCCUUCGGGAUGUAGAUGAGUCUGGAAAUAGCCUUUGAGCAUCUUUGUACAUGUUUGUACUUAGACUCGUUGGCUUUUCCGUAACGCUUGUCUCUUGUGUCCAUCAACAGCCCAUCGAAGCUCUUGUUAGAUCAUUCGUGAUUGCGCAAACUUGGCCCUGUUGCGUUCAUUAAGGGAAUUUCUUCGUCGAAAGUACACGGCAGAUGUGUUUCUCCUAGUAGCGCGAGCGAACUGAGUACAUCUACGUGACGGUGCAUAAUGCUUUCAUGAGGAUUUUUCUGAACGUAGUAGGCUUGUGCGCGUUGUCAAUGCGUUUCUGAUUCUUACGAGAGUUGCACAGACUUGCGCAAAGACUGAAGCUAUCCCAACGUGUUGGCAAAGCAACGUACGGAUGGCCAAAGUUCUCGUGCUCUGGUACGAUGGUAUGCCUAGGCGACAUUGGUCACGUCUCGAAACACGGGCCAAGGAGCAUAGCGUAAAGGCAAGUCGCAAGGUCUUACUAAACCUCGUGGCGAGUGAAAGCGAGUGGUGAAUGAUUAAUUUCAUUCGCAGGUGGUGUGAUUAGAGUUCCAGCAAUGAGACUCUGGUCAUUUCCAUCGUCUUGUACAGAGCUGAUCCUCUAGUUCCUUGGAACGAAAAGGCGCAAGCUCCAGGCUCGCUCGUUGUCCGCUUUAGUUGUCUCGUAUUUCUAAAGUGGCAGAGAGAGCACUGCUUAGACUUUCCGCUAUAACCCGAAAGAUAGUGAACUAUGCUUGGCGAAGAUGAAGCCCCAGGAAACUGUGGUGGAAGUCUGUAGCCGUUGUGACGUGCAAAUCCAUGGUGUCAGCUGAGCAUAGGGGCGAAAGACCAAUCGAACUAUCUAGUAGCUGGUUCCGUUCGAAGUUUCUCUCAGGAUAGCUUGCGCGAAGCAUACGCUCUUUGUCUAUACUCUCGAUCGCAUAAGUGUUCGAGAUUAGCCCUUUAAGUCUGACGCAAUUGAGACGUGUGACUUGUCAUCUCGUUACAUCUCAUACUCGGAUACUGGGAAGCGGAACUACAUUAAGCAGUUACGUCUGGUAAAGAGAAUGAGUAGAGUUGGCUCGUUGGUCUUUUUGCAUCAACGGCAGCGGGGCGUUUUACGCCUCGCACUAUUAUCAAACUUUAAAUGGGCGUGAAACCUGGCAUUGACUUGAUUGAUUGAUGCCAGGAAUGACUAAUGCAUACGUUUCGGCGUAUGCAUGGAGAAUGCUCCCGCGUUAAGUGGGUCCGUUCUGGUAAGCAGAACUGAUAAUGAGGGAUGAACCUAACGCAUGUGAUAAGGGGCCCAAAUGACAGCUAUUUCUCGAAACCAUUGGAAAGGUGUUGCUUGCUGAAGACAGCAGGACGGUGGUCAUGGAAGUUGACACCCGCUAAGGAGUGUGUAACAACUCAUCCUGCCGAAGCGAGUAACCCUGAAAAUGGAUGGCUCUAUAGCUCUCUCCCGAUGCACGGCCGUUAAGGCACGAGAGAUCCAGUGUCUCAAAGCCUUAACGUGUAGAAUGGCGUGCUGGUAAGCGUCGAAGGCCUUUGUGUGAGCUUGGCCCGAGCUGCCAGCAGUGCAGAUCUUGGUGGUAGUAGCAAGUACUCUGGUGAAUAACCUUGAGCUGUGAGGUUGAUAAGGGUUCCAUGUCAACAGCGUUUGAACAUGGGUAAGCCGGUCCUAAGCUCCCUUUAUGUUUAAAGGUUACAGCUUGUGCGAGAGCGUACGUAGUACAAGACAAUCACGUCGCGUGCGACUAUCAUAUUUCUGUCGAACGGAUCACCUCUGCUCGCUGCGCACGAAUGCGUACCAGUCAACAACGAAAGGACUUUGCGAAGCUAUCAGCGCCGCUUAGUCACGAAUAGUGGUCUGGGAAGUUUGUUGCAUCAGCUGGCAUCGAGGAGAUUACUAAUAGGCGGAAAAAUGUUUCAAGUUCAAUCAGGACGGAAAAUCUUGGAAUCGUUGUUCUAGCGUAGCUUGGCGAAAGGGAAAUGUGAACUCAGUUCAUAUGCCUCUCCUGGCACCCUGAAACGGCUUGCCGUGACAUGGACCUAGCGAUAGACGCCAGGCCAGUCGUUGUCAUAAGUAGCUCAGCGGGGAGAUUUCUUCUCUCUUUGAUAAGGCUCGUAGCUCUGAAAACACCUCGCGUGGCGGAAGAGCGAUGCCUUGUAUAGCAGAGUACUCUGGUCCCUCGAGUAGUCUGACGCUACUUGUGAUCCUUGAAAAGGUGGCCGAGGGGAUACAAAACAAAGGUGUUUGCGACAUUUGCUAGUAACAGUUAGUAAUCAAUCGCUUGCAAAACUAUCUUCUCGCAUGGCAAUAGUAGCAAUAUUAUUGCGUCUGCGAGCCAGAGAAAGUUUUUCGCGGUCGGUGGAAGAACUCUGUGAAAGUUGUUGCAUCCGACACUUUACUUGAGUGUUAGCCACGGAGUGACCGUACCCAUUUCCGCAUCCGUCUCAAA
rnacentral:rRNA from 1 species